UUGACCUCGGAUCAGGUAGGGAUACCCGCUGAACUUAAGCAUAUCCAUAAGCGGAGGAAAAGAAACCAACAGGGAUUGCCCUAGUAACGGCGAGUGAAGCGGCAACAGCUCAAAUUUGAAAGCUGGCCUUCGGGUCCGCAUUGUAAUUUGUAGAGGAUGCUUUGGGUGAAACGCCAGUCUAAGUUCCUUGGAACAGGACGUCAUAGAGGGUGAGAAUCCCGUAUGUGACUGGAAAUGUUAACCUAUGUAAAGCUCCUUCGACGAGUCGAGUUGUUUGGGAAUGCAGCUCUAAAUGGGAGGUAAAUUUCUUCUAAAGCUAAAUAUUGGCGAGAGACCGAUAGCGCACAAGUAGAGUGAUCGAAAGAUGAAAAGCACUUUGGAAAGAGAGUUAAAAAGCACGUGAAAUUGUUGAAAGGGAAGCGCUUGCAAUCAGACUUGUUUAAACUGUUCGGCCGGUCUUCUGACCGGUUUACUCAGUUUGGACAGGCCAGCAUCAGUUUCGGCGGCCGGAUAAAGGCUCUGGGAAUGUGGCCUUCACUUCGGUGAAGGUGUUAUAGCCCAGGGUGUAAUACGGCCAGCCGGGACUGAGGUCCGCGCUUCGGCUAGGAUGCUGGCGUAAUGGUUGUAAGCGACCCGUCUUGAAACACGGACCAAGGAGUCUAACAUCUAUGCGAGUGUUCGGGUGUCAAACCCCUGCGCGUAAUGAAAGUGAACGGAGGUGGGAACCGCAAGGUGCACCAUCGACCGAUCCUGAUGUCUUCGGAUGGAUUUGAGUAAGAGCAUAGCUGUUGGGACCCGAAAGAUGGUGAACUAUGCCUGAAUAGGGUGAAGCCAGAGGAAACUCUGGUGGAGGCUCGCAGCGGUUCUGACGUGCAAAUCGAUCGUCAAAUUUGGGUAUAGGGGCGAAAGACUAAUCGAACCAU
rnacentral:rRNA from 1 species